CUUUGCCUUGUGUUAUUCUUCCUAUUCUUGUCAUCUCUUGUUCUUUACACACCAUUCUACUGUUCAGUGUUCACAGAAUCUCCUGGACUACAGCCUGUGGAUUCACCAGUAGAAAACGUUCCCGCGAGGACACUGCUCUAAGGGAACCCACAACUGCUCCUGCGGAAGCUGAAAGUCACCUGUCAAGAGAGGAGCUUCCCACCCUGGUGUUUCUUCUGGGUUUUGCAUCCAGAUUGGGUUUUCCUCCCUCAGCCCCGGGGAGGGCACGGACCUUCUGCCGCCGGUUCCAGCGGCUCAGGCACCGGGGAUGCAGUGCCUGGCCCGGGGUGUCCCGCAGCAGAUGUGGGGAGAUUUCCUUCUUCAUGUUUCCCUGACGGUGGGAAGGAAGGCUCGAGUCAGUAGCGAACUCUGCAGGGGGGUUUCAAAAUAAUUUUCUACCGGCUGAAUGCUUGCCACCUCUGGUCUUUGUAAUGAAGGAGUCUUUUCUGAUCCACAUUUUCCUGAAGUGGUGCUAACCGUCCCCAUCUUACUACUGCUACCGUGGCUGCUGCUACGACUACGAUCACUACCGUUGCCGCUUCACUGUCACUUGUGUCCGUCUGAGGAACUCCUCCAGCGGUGGCAGUGUUCUCCUUUUCAAUAACGCUGUGGCUCCCAGGAGCGCUGCCCUGCCAAGGACCCGCGUGUUCUCACAGGCGCUGCGGGACAAGGCGUUCAGCAGCCCACGGAGGGGACGGCUCUGGAAGGAGCCUCUGUGCGGGCCAAGCGCACGAACCGGACGUCUGGCUUGGGCGGGCCGGAUUGGUACCAGCAACGUGGCAGCGGAGCCCCCACACGAGUGUCUGAAGUGUUCUGGAUGGUUGGGAGAGGAGAGGUGGUUUUCCUUCGUUCCUUGGUGGCUCUGAUGCAUCCAGUUACCUCCUCCUGGCCGAGCUGCAGAGGACAGACUCUGCCUCUGCCCUCUGUGCCCGUGAGACACGCGGUGGCUACGAGGCCUCUUCAGCUGCACCCAACUUCACAGGCUGUGUUUGGUGAAGAGGGGCCCUGAAGAAUUAUGGUCUAUAGGUCUGAUUCACAUUCUGUCUUACUGGUCCACGUUGCUGUUCUGCACCCCGGUUGUCAGUAUCCUCCAUCACUUCCUGCACCAGAGCGUUGGAAUCGUCCGGUCAAGGCCCAUGGAAUCUACACAUAUAGUAAGGUGACACCCAUGGCCUGAGGUAGGGGUGGUGCUUCUGGGCCUGGACUUCGGGAGCACUCACCCAUCCCUUGUUCUUUUUCCUACUCUCACUGUUCUGGUGAUUCUGGUAAUGGCGAAGCAUCUGUAAAUGGUUAGAGCCUGCUGUGUGUUUACUGACUUUGCGAUGAUGGAACUCUGCCAGGGCCCGUGACAUUUGUUGCCUUGGUAUUCUUUUCUCCUCAACGUCAUCAAACUUCAUAGUCUCUUCAUCUCCUACACUGCAAAAGGUGGAUACAUGUUGUAUCACCUAUCAGUACCUCAUUCCUUUCUUAUU
rnacentral:lncRNA from 1 species